AAUGACGGUACCUGAGGAAUAAGCAUCGGCUAACUCCGUGCCAGCAGCCGCGGUAAUACGGAGGAUGCAAGCGUUAUCCGGAAUGAUUGGGCGUAAAGGGUCCGCAGGUGGCUAUGUAAGUCUGCUGUUAAAUAGUCAUGCUCAACAUGAUCAAGGCAGUGGAAACUACAAGGCUAGAGUGCGUUCGGGGCAGAGGGAAUUCCUGGUGUAGCGGUGAAAUGCGUAGAUAUCAGGAAGAACACCGGUGGCGAAAGCGCUCUGCUAGGCCGCAACUGACACUGAGGGACGAAAGCUAGGGGAGCGAAUGGGAUUAGAUACC
rnacentral:rRNA from 1 species